AGCGAACGCUGGCGGCAGGCCUAACACAUGCGAGUCGAACGAACUCUUCGGAGUUAGUGGCGGACGGGUGAGUAACACGUGGGAACGUGCCUUUUGGUUCGGAAUAACUCAGGGAAACUUGUGCUAAUACCGAAUGUGCCCUUCGGGGGAAAGAUUUAUCGCCAUUAGAGCGGCCCGCGUCUGAUUAGCUAGGUGGUGAGGUAACGGCUCACCAAGGCGACGAUCAGUAGCUGGUCUGAGAGGAUGACCAGCCACACUGGGACUGAGACACGGCCCAGACUCCUACGGGAGGCAGCAGUGGGGAAUCUUGCGCAAUGGGCGAAAGCCUGACGCAGCCAUGCCGCGUGAAUGAUGAAGGUCUUAGGAUUGUAAAAUUCUUUCACCGGGGACGAUAAUGACGGUACCCGGAGAAGAAGCCCCGGCUAACUUCGUG
rnacentral:rRNA from 1 species